UUUGCGGUGUGGGAUGGGCCCGCGGCCUAUCAGCUUGUUGGUGGGGUAAUGGCCUACCAAGGCGACGACGGGUAGCCGGCCUGAGAGGGUGACCGGCCACACUGGGACUGAGAUACGGCCCAGACUCCUACGGGAGGCAGCAGUGGGGAAUAUUGCACAAUGGGCGCAAGCCUGAUGCAGCGACGCCGCGUGGGGGAUGACGGCCUUCGGGUUGUAAACCUCUUUCACCAUCGGCGAAGCCGGGAGCUUUUGUUUCCGGUGACGGUAGGUGGAGAAGGAGCACCGGCCAACUACGUGCCAGCAGCCGCGGUAAUACGUAGGGUGCGAGCGUUGUCCGGAAUUACUGGGCGUAAAGAGCUCGUAGGUGGUUUGUCGCGUUGUUCGA
rnacentral:rRNA from 1 species